rnacentral:sRNA from 1 species
GCCAAAACCAGGGUGUUUGGAUUUUAUUUUAGGUUUAGCUUUGG